rnacentral:rRNA from 1 species
CCUUUGGGUAUGUAAUCCAAGGGACUGGGACGAAGAACUUAGGUUCUGUAGCAAUCGGAAGUGGUUCUAAGAAAAGCCUCUAAGUUUCAGUCAUACGAGACCGUACCGCAAACCGACACAGGUGGGCGAGAUGAGUAUUCUAAGGCGCUUGAGAGAACUCGGGAGAAGGAACUCGGCAAAUUGGUACCGUAACUUCGGGAAAAGGUACGCCCUUGUAGUUUGACCACUUUAUUGUGGAAGGAUGAACGGGUUGCAAUAAACUGGUGGCUGCGACUGUUUAAUAAAAAUACAGCACUCUGCAAACACGAAAGUGGACGUAUAGGGUGUGACGCCUGCCCGGUGCUGGAAGAUUAAAUGAUGGGGUGUAAGCUCUUGAUUGAAGUCCCAGUAAACGGCGGCCGUAAUAAUAACGGUCCUAAGGUAGUGAAAUUUCUUGUCGGGUAAGUUCCGACCUGCACGAAUGGCGUAACGAUGGCCACACUGUCUCCUCCCGAGACUCAGCGAAGUUGAAAUGUUUGUGAUGAUGCAAUCUACCCGCGGCUAGACGGAAAGACCCCAUGAACCUUUACUGUAGCUUUGCAUUGGACUUUGAACCAAUCUGUGUAGGAUAGGUGGGAGGCUUAGAAGCGGUGACGUUAGUUAUCGUGGAGCCAACCUUGAAAUACUACCCUGGUUUGUUUGAGGUUCUAACCUUGGUCCGUUAUCCGGAUCGGGGACAGUGCAUGGUAGGCAGUUUGACUGGGGCGGUCUCCUCCUAAAGUGUAACGGAGGAGUUCGAAGGUACGCUAAUUACGGUCGGACAUCGUGAUGAUAGUGCAAUGGCAUAAGCGUGCUUAACUGCGAGACCGAUAAGUCGAGCAGGUACGAAAGUAGGACAUAGUGAUCCGGAGGUUCUGUAUGGAAGGGCCAUCGCUCAACGGAUAAAAGGUACUCUGGGGAUAACAGGCUGAUUCCUCCCAAGAGUUUAUAUCGACGGGGGAGUUUGGCACCUCGAUGUCGGCUCAUCACAUCCUGGGGCUGUAGUUGGUCCCAAGGGUAUGGCUGUUUGCCAUUUAAAGUGGUAUGUGAGCUGGGUUUAAAACGUCGUGAGACAGUUUGGUCCCUAUCUGCCGUGGGCGUUGGAAAUUUGAAGGGGGCUGCUCCUAGUACGAGAGGACCGGAGUGGACGAACCUCUGGUGUACCGGUUGUCACGCCAGUGGCAUUGCCGGGUAGCUAAGUUCGGAAGAGAUAACCGCUGAAAGUAUUUAAGCGGGAAACUUGCCUUGAGAUGAGAUUUCCCAGAGCUUUGAGCUCUUUGAAGGGUCGUUCGAGACCAGGACGUUGAUAGGUCAGGUGUGGAA